rnacentral:rRNA from 1 species
ACGGAAGGCAGCAGUGGGGAAUAUUGCACAAUGGGGGAAACCCUGAUGCAGCGACGCCGCGUGAAGGAAGAAGUAUCUCGGUAUGUAAACUUCUAUCAGCAGGGAAGAAAUUGACGGUACCUGAUUAAGAAGCCCCGGCUAACUACGUGCCAGCAGCCGCGGUAAUACGUAGGGGGCAAGCGUUAUCCGGAUUUACUGGGUGUAAAGGGAGCGUAGACGGAAUUGCAAGUCUGAUGUGAAAGGCAUGGGCUCAACCUGUGGACUGCAUUGGAAACUGUGAUUCUUGAGUGCCGGAGGGGUAAGCGGAAUUCCUGGUGUAGCGGUGAAAUGCGUAGAUAUCAGGAGGAACACCGGUGGCGAAGGCGGCUUACUGGACGGCAACUGACGUUGAGGCUCGAAGGCGUGGGGAGCAAACAGGAUUAGAUACCCUGGUA